UAUUAUAAAAAGGAGACCCGUGUACAGAUCGAUAUCGAUAUUUCUCGAAGAAAUAUCUCGAAAAUGCGUAAGCGUAAGACAGAAACCGAAGCGACAUCUGUCGAUUAUAUUAGUCGCACAUUGGGCUGGAACAAAUGAACCGGUAAAAACCAUCACAUUUGGCAACGUGUUUGAGUGUUUUUAUCCUAUUAUAAAAAGGAGAUAAUUUAUAAUCGUGAAACAUCAUGACAUCUCCACCUAUUAAAUAUACGACCAACAGAGCCAUUGAUCAUUUCAAUGUUGCAGCUACACUCAUGAAAAUCAUCGGCUACGUCGACAGCAUUGAAGACCUGAGAGAGUUGCCAAAGUCUCCAUCUAAGUGGAUUUACAAGUGCAUUUUAAAUAACAAUGAUGGCAGAAGGGUUCGCAUACUUUGCUCGGGGGAUGAUGCUCUCAAAUACAAGGAUGAGAUCAAGAUGUAUCAGGGAACCUUGAGGGAAAAAAAAUAUCAACGAAUAAAUAACAUAAAUGCCCAGUUCAGUUUUCUAGAUAAUAAAAAUCACUGGAGGGAUUAUUAAAGCGGCCAAUCCACAGUAUCGGCGAUCAACGGACACUGUGAGCGACAAAGAAUUUCAAUUUGCACGUAGGAGCACUUUCGACAUCUUUGGCACAUUUAACAUUACGAAUGGAGCUGACAAUGGAAGGUCGAAGGUCAUCUCAUAUAAAAAAUUGAGAUGGAGAACGUUUGUGCUGCUCGCGGGCCAGUCCAGAUCACUGGAUGGCUCAAAGAGCCAUUCAGAAGCAUUACCACGGUAAGUGGUUCGAGUUAUGGAUCUGGCAUGUUUUGCACAAGGGUCCAUCGCAUGACCAUUCACGUGGUAACAUACAUCCCGAGAGAAGAUUUGAUCGAGGGAAUCAAAAUGACCAUUAAAGGUCGAGUUGAUUGUCGUGGGGAUGGUUUUGUUCUGAAUAUUAACAGCAUGGAUGACAUUGCAGUCCUGACUGAGGAUGUAGCCCUCAAUGAAGAUAAGUUGGAUGAUGCUGUCGAAGCACCUCCUCUCAUUCUCAAACGAGGGGCAGCUGAAUCUGCAUCUGGAGAGGCGAUGGACGUCGCGAAUAAGAAACUGAAAGCUGAAUAGCUUUAAUGACGUGCUAUUUACUCUGGAAGUUCAAUUGCAAAAUUGAAAAUUUUUUCUAUAACAAGUUCUAGACUGUUAUUUUUUCACACAAAAAUUGAGUUCUAUAACAAGUUUAACACUGUUAUUUUUUUACGCAAAAAUUUAAUUCUAUAACAAGUUUAAUACUGUUAUUUUUUUACACAAAAAUGAAACAUUGACAAGCUUGAGCUCUUUAAGAAUCUGAUUUUUUACUUUUAAAGACUGCCAACUUCAUAGCAGUAAGGUUAAUACUCAUUUAGCUUUAACAACCAAAACAGAUGGAAUUAUAAUAAUCUAUUCAUGAACAUUAGUAUUUAUUCAGAAUUUAUUUCAAUAUAUGGCCCUGUUUUUGAAGAAAAAGUAUUACUAAACAUUUGUAUUUUUUAUAUAUAACAGAGAAAACUGAAGACUAAUUAAUUUUAUGAUUAAAGUAGAUAAAGCUCUCCGGAAUCACAGAUAAGUGAUACAAAGGAUGUAUUCAUGUUAAUGUUUGUUCAUAUUUCUUAACAUAUGUUGUAAUGUCAAUUAUAAUUGUUGGAACAU